AACCCCGCCGUCACCUUCGGCGCUUUCGUCGGUGGAAACAUCACCUUACUCCGUGGUAUCGUUUACAUCAUCGCUCAACUCCUUGGAUCCAUCGUCGCCUCCGCACUCCUCGUCUUUGUCACCGCAUCGGUAUGACUGAUAAUUUUUAUAACUAAAUAUAACGUUAGUUAUAGAAGUUAGUUACUUCUUCAAAAUACAGUUAUUUGUUAUAUUUAUUUUUUAUUUUUAAGAAACUUUAGAUUUAAUUAACUAGAGUUUUGUUACCGUGUAUCGCAGUCUGUGCCAGCAUUCGCUCUAUCCGCAGGAGUUGGAGUGGGUCCCGCUUUGGUGUUGGAGAUUGUGAUGACUUUCGGUUUGGUGUACACUGUGUACGCUACAGCCGUUGACCCAAAGAAGGGUAAUAUUGGAAUUAUCGCACCUAUUGCUAUUGGUUUCAUCGUUGGUGCUAACAUUUUGGUUGGUGGAGCCUUCACCGGAGCAUCCAUGAACCCCGCCGUGUCAUUCGGGCCUGCUGUGGUGAGCUGGAGCUGGGCCAACCACUGGAUCUACUGGGCCGGCCCACUUAUCGGUGGUGGGCUUGCUGGGCUUAUCUAUGAGGUUCUCUUCAUUAACAGCACCCAUGAGCAGCUUCCAACCACUGACUACUAGAUGGGAAGUGAAAAUGGAACUGAAAUUUGAAAUUGUGUAUUAUUGAAUUUUCUUCUGUGCAUGUUUUUAUUUUCUUGUG
rnacentral:lncRNA from 1 species